CUUGCUUCAAGAGUUCUAGCCCCUAGAACUCGACUAGCCAUCAGUCUAUCAGACCUUCAUUCAGAUCUAAGUCUGAACCUCUUAGAACCACCCACUAGACCUAACCACCUACUUCUAGAUCUUUUAAACCCUUAGAGCUAUUAGGAAUAAGCUUGUCUUAAAAGAACAAGCCUUUGUCCUAAACCCUAGAGUUGUAAGAGAGG
rnacentral:lncRNA from 1 species